UUCAUCGAUGGGGCGGAAACUUCCGUGCCGAUGUAUUCUAAUACAUUCCGAGGCGCUCUUCACCCCCACCUUUCACAACUUUGUCAACUCUUUGUGCCAAAAAAAGAAAGAGAAAAAAUACAUAUGUAAAGUACAAUCCUGUUGCUGAUAAAUGCUAAAGCUAAAGCUGAAUGCGAAGGGGGAAUUUGUAGAUUAUGCUGUUUCAUGUUCAUGCAAAUUCAUGAAUGGGGAACAUUUCCAUGAUUUUUUUUUUAACAAUUAUAGUGUGGUGAAGAAAAUAAGUUUGUGUGUGUGUGUCUAUUGCAUGUCACAAUAUUGAAGUUGUUGAAGUAUUUUUUUUGGUAUUUAAAUUUUUAUUCUGUCUUUCAUAUAAUUUGAGAAAGUCUACUUUAGGAAUUCGAAAUGAUAUUUGUGUUAAAAUAUGUAUGUAUAUAUAUAUAUAUAUAUUAAAACAUAAAAAUGGUUGUUGUGUUGUCACAAUUCUAGUUCAACAAAAUUUUGAUUAUCAAUAUUAAUUUAAACAUAAACGGAUGAAAGAUAUAUUUUAAUUCUUGAAAAGAAAAUCCUGAUAAAUGCAUAGACACCCACACACACACAUCAAUCCAUGCACGUCAAAACAUCUUCUACAAUAAAAGUCAUGCAAUUUCAAACAGGUGUUGAACAAGCAUUUGUGUUCCCAUCCUCCGAAAAAGCCAGCACCAAAAAAAUCAAAAACAACUUGAACGAGGCUUUACUCCAUACACCAAUCACUUCCAUACCUUUUUAACACGGAAUGAACUUUAUCGUACAAAGAUUUCUGAGAAAAAGAAAAAGAACUUUUCCAAAACUGAAAUGCUAAACAAAUAAAUUUUUGUGUGGGAUAUUCAUGAUUCCUCAACAAAGAUGAGGCAUGGAAAGAGAAAGAAGCACGGCAAGUUUGCGAGGAUUGCAGCGAUUGAGCGAAGCCCGCGGCGAGGCUCUCACUUCGACUCCAUUUGCUUCACGGGACAAAGAGUGUGGUAGGGCAUAAUUCUUCGGCGAGCAGCGGGGCAUGAAAUUCAACAAGCCAAAUGCGACAAGGCGAGGUCUAAAAAUUCGAAUGAGAUUCGGAGUUUGGGAAAUGAUGUGGCCGCCUGCGUUUGUUGCUGUUGCUGGUCGGUGAGCGUGAUUUUGAGUUUGAUGGGAAGGACUUGUGGAUCAGUUUUGCAGUUCCCAUGGUAUUUCUUCGAUUUCGCAGCACUGGUACGCAGCUCGCACUCUGACCUUUUUGCUCUUCAUCCGUCCUCCAUCCAUGUGUGUCUACAGACAUGGAUGUCGGGUAGCUGCCUCCUAUUUUGUGAGGAGCUGAUGGGCAACCAAUUGUUGGGAGUUCCUAAAAGGAGUGCAAGGUUAAGGCUAUAUGUGUAUAUGUACGUAUAUAUAUAUAUAUAUAUAUCUAUAUAUCUAUAUAUAUAUAUAAACACGCACAAAAAAUCAUUUGUGAUCAAUGGAAAAGGGUUAGCAAUUUAAGGUUUAUUAAAAUGUUCUGGUGCGAGGAGCCAUCUGGAUUUUCUGUUCAUCCAGUACAAGGUACCUGUUCCGCUACGGCCGUAUUUCUUGGGGAUGCAAAUUCGCCAACUCCCAGCAAAAAUGUUGGGUAAAUUCUUUCUGACUGAAUGCUUCGUUAUUACAUGCUCAAAUGUGAACUCGGCUUGAGCUAGUAACUCGUACAGGACUUCCAUUAUUCAAACAAGGAACUACGAAAAGAGAAUACACGGACAAGGAAAACGAAAGAAACGCCUCCGACACAAGCACACAUAGCAUGUAAGUUGAAGGGGCGCUCUGGACACCACAGGCCUCACACGAUUGCAGUGUCCAUGAGAGAUAAUCGACAGACCUAAACAAAUGAACAGUACGAUACACUGAACAGGAGUCGGAAGGACGUGUAAAGCUGCUUCCACUCGCAUUUUGACACACGCAGAAAGCCGUCUCGUCCUGACGAGGCGGUGCAAUCAAAUCAAAUCGAGCAACUCGCAGUUCCAGCAGGCUCCACUGGUCCAUACUCCUGCUCCUGUCCAUCCAGUGUCGACAGCGUUCGCAUCCGCGAUGGCCCUGUGAAGUCGUAACGAAGUCUUGGCUUUAACACGAUUACUACCACAACUACCAUCACCAUGAAAUGAAUCUCGAUCGCUUCCGGCGACGAAUCCGAAUACACGACAGCUGCGGUGACGCGCGAGAAUAAAAUUAGGUUUUUAAUCAAUUUAGGGUUCCGGUGAAACUCGUGAUUCUCCUCGGUGGCAUAGAUGAAUGUGGUAGUUGGACUGAAAACAUCGUGUGCAUUUUGGAUGAAGAAAAGUCCCUCUAUAAAAUAUAAUGGAAAUCCAGUUUCUUUUUAUUU